rnacentral:rRNA from 1 species
GACGAACGCUGGCGGCGUGCCUAAUACAUGCAAGUAGAACGCUGAAGGAGGAGCUUGCUUCUCUGGAUGAGUUGCGAACGGGUGAGUAACGCGUAGGUAACCUGCCUGGUAGCGGGGGAUAACUAUUGGAAACGAUAGCUAAUACCGCAUAAUAUUGACUAUUGCAUGAUAGUCAGUUGAAAGGUGCAACUGCACCACUACCAGAUGGACCUGCGUUGUAUUAGCUAGUUGGUGGGGUAACGGCUCACCAAGGCGACGAUACAUAGCCGACCUGAGAGGGUGAUCGGCCACACUGGGACUGAGACACGGCCCAGACUCCUACGGGAGGCAGCAGUAGGGAAUCUUCGGCAAUGGACGGAAGUCUGACCGAGCAACGCCGCGUGAGUGAAGAAGGUUUUCGGAUCGUAAAGCUCUGUUGUAAGAGAAGAACGAGUGUGAGAGUGGAAAGCUCACACUGUGACGGUAUCUGACCAGAAAGGGACGGCUAACUACGUG